rnacentral:rRNA from 1 species
UACAGAGGUCUCAAGCGUUGUUCGGAAUCACUGGGCGUAAAGGGUGCGUAGGCGGCGCGGAAAGUCAGGGGUGGAGGCCCAUCGCUCAACGGUGGAACGGCCAUUGAUACUGCAAGACUUGAAUUAUUAGGAAGUAACUAGAAUAUGUAGUGUAGCGGUGAAAUGCUUAGAGAUUACAUGGAAUACCAAUUGCGAAGGCAGCUGGCUACACAAAUAUUGACACUGAGGCACGAAAGCGUGGGGAUCAAACAGG